rnacentral:rRNA from 1 species
UACGUAGGGUGCGAGCGUUAAUCGGAAUUACUGGGCGUAAAGCGUGCGCAGGCGGUUUUGUAAGUCAGACGUGAAAUCCCCGGGCUCAACCUGGGAAUUGCGUUGGAGACUGCAAGGCUGGAGUCUGGCAGAGGGGGGUAGAAUUCCACGUGUAGCAGUGAAAUGCGUAGAGAUGUGGAGGAACACCGAUGGCGAAGGCAGCCCCCUGGGUCAAGACUGACGCUCAUGCACGAAAGCGUGGGGAGCAAACAGG